UACCGUAGGGGGGCUAGCGUUGUCCGGAUUUAUUGGGCGUAAAGAGCGUGUAGGCGCCAGGUAGGUCUGCUGUGAAAACUCGAGGCUCAACCUCGAGACGUCGGCGGAAACCAUCUGGCUAGAGUCCGGAAGAGGAGAGUGGAAUUCCUGGUGUAGCGGUGAAAUUCGUAGAUAUUCGCAGGAACACCAGUGGCGAAGGCGGCUCACUGGUCCACAACUGACGCUGAGGUGCGAAAGCGUGGGGAGCAAACAGG
rnacentral:rRNA from 1 species